UAUAUUUGCCGCCUGAUUAUCAAAGCGGUAAUCUGUACAUAAAAAUCAUUUAAAAUAAUAUUGGCAUG
rnacentral:ncRNA from 1 species